GGAGGGGUGACCGAGCGGCCGAUGGUGACGGUCUUGAAAACCGUUGUCCCUGCAAGGGGACCGUGGGUUCGAAUCCCACCCCCUCCG
rnacentral:tRNA from 1 species